rnacentral:rRNA from 1 species
CUCGGUGAUUUAGCUUACUGUGACCUACCCGAUCCCAUUCCGAACUCGGAAGUAAAGACGGUAAGUCCUGAUGAUACUUGCUACUUAGGUAGUCGGGAAAGUAGGGUUUGCCGGGA